GUCUAUGGUCAUGCCACCCUGAACAAGCCCGAUGUCUGAUCUCGGAAGCUAAGCAGGGUCGGGCCUGGUUAGUACUUGGAUGGGAGACCACCUAGGAAGACUGUAGGCAUUAAAAAAA
rnacentral:rRNA from 1 species